ensembl:miRNA
AAAAGUUCGUUUAGGUUUUUCUGUAACUUGGGUUGGAAAACCUGAACAAACUUUUA